rnacentral:rRNA from 1 species
UAAGACCUUGCGCCGAUGGAUGAGCCGAAGUCGGAUUAGCUAGUUGGUAGGGUAACGGCCUACCAAGGCGACGAUCCGUAGCUGGUCUGAGAGGACGACCAGCCACACUGGGACUGAGACACGGCCCAGACUCCUACGGGAGGCAGCAGUGGGGAAUAUUGGACAAUGGGGGCAACCCUGAUCCAGCGACGCCGCGUGUGUGAAGAAGGCCUGCGGGUUGUAAAGCACUUUUAGUGGGGAUGAAAAGCUCAGGGCUAAUACCUCUGGGUCUUGACCUAACCCACAGAAAAAGCACCGGCUAACUCUGUGCCAGCAGCCGCGGUAAUACAGAGGGUGCAAGCGUUAAUCGGAAUUACUGGGCGUAAAGCGCGCGUAGACGGUUUUGUAAGUCAGAUGUGAAAUCCCUGGGCUCAACCUGGGAACU